rnacentral:rRNA from 1 species
AACGAACGCUGGCGGCAGGCCUAACACAUGCAAGUCGAACGCCGUAGCAAUACGGAGUGGCAGACGGGUGAGUAACACGUGGGAACGUACCCUCGGUUCGGGAUAACUCAGGGAAACUUGAGCUAAUACCGGAUACGUCCGAGAGGAGAAAGAUUUAUCGCCGAGGGAUCGGCCCGCGUCUGAUUAGCUUGUUGGUGAGGUAACGGCUCACCAAGGCGACGAUCAGUAGCUGGUCGAGAGGAUGAUCAGCCACAUUGGGACUGAGACACGGCCCAAACUCCUACGGGAGGCAGCAGUGGGGAAUAUUGGACAAUGGGCGCAAGCCUGAUCCAGCCAUGCCGCGUGAGUGAUGAAGGCCUUCGGUUG